rnacentral:rRNA from 1 species
UAGGGAAUCUUCCGCAAUGGGCGAAAGCCUGACGGAGCAACGCCGCGUGAGUGAUGAAGGUCUUCGGAUCGUAAAACUCUGUUAUUAGGGAAGAACAAAUGUGUAAGUAACUAUGCACGUCUUGACGGUACCUAAUCAGAAAGCCACGGCUAACUACGUGCCAGCAGCCGCGGUAAUACGUAGGUGGCAAGCGUUAUCCGGAAUUAUUGGGCGUAAAGCGCGCGUAGGCGGUUUUUUAAGUCUGAUGUGAAAGCCCACGGCUCAACCGUGGAGGGUCAUUGGAAACUGGAAAACUUGAGUGCAGAAGAGGAAAGUGGAAUUCCAUGUGUAGCGGUGAAAUGCGCAGAGAUAUGGAGUAACACCAGUGGCGAAGGCGACUUUCUGGUCUGUAACUGACGCUGAUGUGCGAAAGCGUGGGGAUCAAACAGG